rnacentral:rRNA from 1 species
UACGGAGGGGGCGAGCGUUAUUCGGAAUUAUUGGGCGUAAAGGGCGCGUAGGCGGCCCGGUAAGUCAAAGGUGAAAUCCCUCGGCUCAACUGAGGAACUGCCUUUGAAACUGUCGGGCUUGAGGCCGGGAGGGGGUAGCGGAAUUCCCAGUGUAGCGGUGAAAUGCGUAGAUACUGGGAGGAACACCAGUGGCGAAGGCGGCUACCUGGACCGGUUCUGACGCUGAUGCGCGAAAGCGUGGGUAGCAAACAGG